rnacentral:rRNA from 1 species
CCUACGGGAGGCAGCAGUGGGGAAUAUUGGACAAUGGGGGCAACCCUGAUCCAGCCAUGCCGCGUGUGUGAAGAAGGCCCUCGGGUUGUAAAGCACUUUCAGUGAGGAAGAACGCCUGGUGGUUAAUACCCAUCAGGAAAGACAUCACUCACAGAAGAAGCACCGGCUAACUCCGUGCCAGCAGCCGCGGUAAUACGGAGGGUGCGAGCGUUAAUCGGAAUUACUGGGCGUAAAGCGCGCGUAGGUGGCUUGAUAAGCCGGUUGUGAAAGCCCCGGGCUCAACCUGGGAACGGCAUCCGGAACUGUCAAGCUAGAGUGCAGGAGAGGAAGGUAGAAUUCCCGGUGUAGCGGUGAAAUGCGUAGAGAUCGGGAGGAAUAACAGUGGCGAAGGCGGCCUUCUGGACUGACACUGACACUGAGGUGCGAAAGCGUGGGUAGCAAACAGGAUUAGAUACCCUGGUAGUC